CUUAUAUUCUCAGAUAUUAUCCACUGCUGCUGAUGAAAUAUGACCUAUCAACUGCUCAAGCCAUGGAGAGUUUUCACCACAGAGUAUUUUAGAAAAGAACUUUUCUUAUCCUGAAAGAUCGACUCCUGUCUGAGAUCCCACAGCCAGGCAGUGGCAAAAAUGAAACCAACCUGGGUACAGGAAUAUACCACUGUCUUAGAAAGAGCUGGUAAUAGCGUGAGAGAAGUGCUCCUAAAGCCUGUGGCGCCCUCUUCUGACAUCUCAGCCAACAUA